GCGCAGGAGAUGCGUGCUGUGAGGGAACCGAGGCCUCCGGUUUCGAGGAAGAAGAUUCGGGAGAACCCUGCCGUCUCUGGGGGCACGCUGUCUGUCCAGGUUUCUACGGCAGAAAGAGAAAGCAGUUCGUGUUGCCAGACCUGCUGUCACGUGCCUCUGUAGGAAAACCGCAAAAGGAUGAAGCAGAAGACAUCGAUAUUCACGCCGUAGGUGCUGCAUCGUCACUGACGGCUUCGCAGGAUCAUCAACCCAUGUCGUUGGACAUAACUUAUAGCCCAGGCUGCAAAGGAGGCUCUCCAAUGGCGAGAAGACAACGUGUGUCUGUGACUCUAAAGU